GUCCUUUUGGAUUUUUAUUUAAGGUCUAGUCUGCCCACUGAAUUUAUAUUUUAAAUGGCCGCAGUAUUUUGACUGUGCAAAGGUAGCAUAAUCAUUAGUUUUUUAAUUAAAAGCUUGUAUGAAAGGCUGGACGAGGUAAAAUCUGUCUCUAUUUAAGUUAAAAUAGAAUUUAACUUUUAAGUUAAAAGGCUUAAAUAUUAUUAAAAGACGAGAAGACCCUAUAGAUCUUUAUAAUUUUUUAAAUAAAAUUAAUUUAGAAUUAUUUAUGUUUUAUUUAAAUAAAUUAUUUUAUUGGGGUAAUAGAAAGAUUAGAUUAAUUCUUUUUUUUAAUAAACAUUGAUUUAUGAGUAUUAAAUGAUCCAGUUUUACUGAUUAUAAGAUUAAGUUACCUUAGGGAUAACAGCGUAAUUUUUUUAGAGAGUUCAUAUCGAUAAAAAAGUUUGCGACCUCGAUGUUGGAUUAAAGAUUAUUUUAGGUGUAGAAGCUUAAUAAUUUUGGUCUGUUCGACCAUUAAAUCUUUAC
rnacentral:rRNA from 1 species